rnacentral:rRNA from 1 species
GAUGAGCCUGCGUCUCAUUAGCUAGUUGGUGGGGUAACGGCCCACCAAGGCAUUGAUGAGUAGCUGGUCUGAGAGGAUGAUCAGCCACACUGGUACUGAAACACGGUCCAGACUCCUACGGGAGGCAGCAGUGGGGAAUCUUGCGCAAUGGAGGGAACUCUGACGCAGCCACGCCGCGUGAGUGAAGAAGGCCUUCGGGUUGUAAAGCUCUGUCGAGCGGGACGAAAAUCAUUGGUGUUAACAGCGCCAGUGACUGACGGUACCGCUAAAGGAAGCACCGGCUAACUCCGUGCCAGCAGCCGCGGUAAUACGGAGGGUGCAAGCGUUGCUCGGAAUUAUUGGGCGUAAAGGGUAGGUAGGUGGUCUCAUUUGUCUUAUGUGAAAGCCUUGGGCUUAACUCAAGAAGUGCGUAAGAAACGGUGAGACUCGAGUCCUGGAGAGGUUCGUGGAAUUCCCGGUGUAGCGGUGAAAUGCGUAGAGAUCGGGAGG